GAUCUCAGCGUCAUCAGUACGAGUCGUCAUCGCUCACGUCGAUGUGUUGACCCCCUCCCCUCGACGAAAGGCAGUCAAGCACGUUACCGCUGCCUAGCAGAGAAGCGACAGCAUCAGGCAUUAUAAAGCAAAACAGGAAAACACUACAAGGGGCCGCACCGCGCAUGUACGCCUUCCUCCCCUCCUCGGCUUCGCGGACGCAGCCGCUCGACUGGGUGACGCUCAUCACGAACGCGCUAGCGGUGGCGAGGGAGGCACCAUCGGAGCAGGUUCUCAACACCCUCGUGAUGAUGCAGUCUUACGCGACCGCCUCACCGGACGUCUUCACCAAUGUCUCCCGCGGUGCGCGAGAUGUGAAGGAGUAUGUGGCGCUGCUGUGCGCCAUGGACGAGGCGAUCGGCGCGUGGCCCUUGCGUGUUCGGCAGCUGCUGGACGUACCGCCGGUCAUCCUGGUGCCGGCUGGAGGCCCCGGUGGCAGCUUCGUCACUGUCCCGGUGCACACGCCGCGCGGCGAGGCGCUGGUGUUCCUGUUUAACGUGUCGCUUUAUCACAUGGACGCUGGACUGCGCUAUCUGGCCCGCGUGCGGUCGGAUGCGUCAGCAAUGAUUUCGUCCAACGCCUCGCGUAGACUGGGCGGCGGUGGCUCCGUCGCGGCACCGAACCAAAACGCCAAGCUGGCCGCCCAGCACUGCCGCCUGGCGGUCGACGUGCUGCGCUGGUCAGAGGCCCUUCACGCAAGUCCGAGCUCCCCUUCCGCACUCGCGCUGCGACACCUGCGCAGCCACAUACCACUGGACGUAACAAGGGAUAUGGGCAUGCUGUGUUCGGCAGUGGCCAAGUACAUGUACGCCCUCUCCUCUGCAUCCACCAAGGACAAGCCGGACGUGUUGGCGAAGCUCGCCUUCGAUGCCGCGCAGCUGCAACUCCCAGGGUGCGUCUCCGCUAGCAGCUCGCUGCAGCUCUUGCCCUCCCUCCUGCUCGCCACUUACCACUACCACAAAGCCACGUGGUACUACUCGGCCAGUAAGGUGCCAGACAUGGCUGAGGCUCUCGGCCACAUGCAGUACGCCGACACCCUCCUACGCAGCUGCGACGCGCAGUGGGGAGUGGAAGAGGCGCACACGCAGAUGGAGCACGAGUCGCGGCAAUGGUGGGGGCGUCGACUGGCGUCCUUCUUCAAAGGUGCUAGCCAGGCGAGCGCAUCGGCAGCGAACCGGCCUCGUGACGAGGCACCUCGCGGCGGCAGCAGAGUGAACAGUGCAGCGGGUGUUGCCAGCUCGGAUGAGGCCGAUGACGACACCGUUGUUACGGCGCUCCAGCCGGCCACGGAGUACCCGAGCCUUCACGCGCUCCUGCUCCACGGUGAGGGCAGGUCGGCAUCCAGAGCAGCGGGUGCUGCCAGCUCGGAUGGCCGCAACGACGGUGCCCCGACGGCGGCCACGAUUGCAGAUGUGGUGCAUGUUUAUCCGUACCUCCGCCUGCUCCUGCAGGACGUGUGUGGCUGCCUGCAGCGGUACAAACGAGAGAACGAGCUCGUGUUCUUCGUGAAGGCAGCAGCCGCUGACGUCGUGAGCCGUGACGUGCCGGAUGUAACAGCCGCUAUCGGCGGCGGUGCGGCGGAUGCGGCGGAGGAGAGCGCGCUCUUCGAGCCUCGCGCAAGCCUCUUCGCUUCGUUGCCAUCCACGAGCACGCUUCAACUGGCUUUGGCGCAGGAGGAGGAGUGUGGGCAGGCGCAGCAGACACUCGCAAGUCUGCUCCAGCGCGUCGAGCGCGAUCAGAGAAAGCUCUUGCUCUUCAUUGAGCCACCGAACACCCUUCAUCAGGCCCUGGACGCGCUGGAGGCUCUCCUGCCGCAGGCGGCUCCAUGGAGUUCUCUAGAUGCUGCUGUCAAUGCAGCUGUCGAGGCGGUCGAGGCGGCUGCGCAGGACUUCGUUGACGUGGCCGCCGCCUGGCAGGAGGACCACGACGCCUACGUCGGUGCCCGCUGCGCUGCGCAUCCUUUGCUCAAGGAUACUCGUGCUGAGCUGGCGGUGUGGAGCGAGCGAGCGGCUGUAGCGCUGCAGCGGUGGAAGGCACUUGAGCUACCCGCCGAGGUCGACUCCCGCAGCGCCUUCCUCGAUGCCCUUGUCCCCAUCAGCAGCGAGCUUCACGCGUACCUGGCGCAGAGCGGUGAUGUCUGCAGGGAUGCACGAGACGUGCUGAUGUGCAGCCCCGGCAGCGUCACCGUUGCACAGGUGCAGGCGUGCACAGCAGCGGUAGACGCGGCGAGGCAGUCUGGCAUUGAACUGUUGGCGCACGUGACCGCGACGGCCCCCCGCCGAUCGAUACCGCGGCCGCCGCGGUACAGGGUAGGUGAUGGCACCCACACGCGGAACUCGGACGACAACGGCAACGCCGCUGGCGCGGAAGAAGAUGAGCCCGCACCGGCCCCGCAGUAUGCCGAGGCGGAAGCGGCCAUUGAAGCAAUGGUGCAGGUGCUAGAAGAGGCCCCUAUGGUGGUGGCCCACGUGGAGAGCGCGGCCGCGGAACUGCGCGACAUGCAGAAGAAGGCUGUCGUGACGCCGCUGGGCCAGUUGCGUGACGUCCGCUUCCUCCCCAGCCCCACCAAGCAGCCCAUCAAGGAGGCAGACGAAGAGAGAGGAGGAGGAGGAGACUCCGUAAGCACGAGUGCCAAUGGUGGCGGCAGUGUCAUCAAGGCUGCAGACCCCACCAACCGCGUCGACAACGUCGCCUCUCGGAGCAGCACUACUACGUCCUCUCGCAAGCGCGCCGGCACCUCUUCACCGGUUGGGAAGCCUCUCUUGCCUGAGCCAGCUGCCGACGACGCCUCCGACUCCGUCAGCUCCUCGCAGCUGGCAGACGCAAAAGAGGUGGCUGUGAUGGAGGGGGACGGCGCCACCAGAGCAGCGGUGAGCGGCAGCCUGCUCCGCCGCCUCAAGGCGAACAAGAAAGAGCGUCAGCAGGGGUCCAGCAGCGCACCUGCCACUGCCUCACCGCCGCCGUCCAAACGCGCGAAGCGAUGACAUAGACAGCCGGAGACGCAACACGCUUGACGACUCCGCCUUACACGUCUUCUCCCCCCCCCCUCUCCUGUUAGAUCCACCAGUACGCGGUGGAGUAGGUGAGGGAGGGGCGGAGCCGCCCGCCGCCCCUCCCUCACCCGUGAAAACGUUCUCCAUCAAGAAU
rnacentral:misc_RNA from 1 species